CCUGCUCCCAGGGAGGCCGGCCAGGCCAACGCGUCACGGCGGCGGGGAAGCCCGCCCAAAGGUGCUGGGACGCAUGCGCCAGAGACUGGGCCCGGGAGCCGCCGGGACGCCGGCUGCGCGGCUAGCUGGAUGUCUAGUAAAGCCAAGGCUAAGAUUUUGGGAAUGUUGACCCACUGCCCUCAGCUUCUAAUUCCCAGUGGGCGGAGCAGAGGACUUCUGUUCCUUCAGCCUUAGGCCAGGUGGUUUCACUGGGGAGACGUUGGUGGCUCCCUUGUGGCCGAGAGAAAGGCACUGAAAAUAACUCCGUGUUAAGAUGUCUGAAAGCGACAGCUCUGCACCUGUCAUACAAGUUAAACUCAUCCCACGCAGUACUUGAACUUCCCUCCCUUUUGAUGAGAAGAAUAAGCCUCAUUCUGAUUCAACAGCAGAGAUCAAAGAAAAGACUUCUGUUUGCUGGCCAUCAGAUAUAUGUUAUCUGUGUUUAAAGAACUGAAAAACACACAUCAAAGGAACAUUCUCUUGGAAAGAGAGAAGUUUCAGCGGGAUGCUGGUGAUUUGGUGAGAAAGAAGCAACUAUUUCUGUGAUUUAAUUUCAACGUGAGCAUUGAGAAGGCAACCCUUCACCCUUUUACUACUGUUGAUAACUCCAUGCUUCUAAGAACUAAUGGGUUGAAGAACUUAGCACUUGUGAUGGAUUAGUCAAACAAAAAUUAUGAAAAGUUAACUCAUAAGUUGUUGAGUAGAGCCAUGCAUUCUUCAGUCUCUCCAAUGAACACCUUCACUGAUAUCCAAAGCAUGAAGAGAGACACCAGGAAAAAACAUGGACCUAACAAAGGACAAAUGGAAUUAUUAGAAACAUUUUCCAGAAGAACACUACUCUGUUGCUAUUUGAAUCUUUGCUUCUUUCUAGGUUUGACAGUGAGGCUAUCAUAUAAGCCCAAAUGUAAACUGAAAGAGGUUGAAUCAGUUAGGAUAAACCCUAUUGUGCUGUGGUAACAAACAACCUCAAAAUCUCAUUGGCUUAAAAUACACAGAAUUAUUCUUACUCAUGAUACAUAUCCAUCAAUGGUCUGCAAGGGAUCUGCUCACAGAGGUCACUGAAGUGAACUUGGACUGAUAGAACUGCCACUUUUUGGUCAUUAUUUGUAUUAAUCUGUUUUCAUGCUGUUGUUAAAGAUCUGAAACUGGGAAGAAAUAGAGGUUUAAUUAGACUUACAGUUCCACGUGGCUGAGGAGGCCUCAGAAUCAUGAUGGAAGGUAAAAGGCAAUUCUUACAUGGUGGGAACGAGAGAAAAAUGAGGAAGAAGCAAAAGUGGAAACCCCUGAUAAACACAUCGGAUCUCGUGAGACUUAUUUCACUAUCAUGAGAAUAGUAUGGGAAAGACUGGCCCCCAUGAUUCAGUUACCUC